rnacentral:rRNA from 1 species
UUCUAUGGCCAUACCACCCUGAAAUGUGCCUGAUCUCAUCUGAUCUCAGAAGCUAAGCAGGCUUGGGCCUAGUUAGUAUUUGAAUGGGAUAAAAU